rnacentral:rRNA from 1 species
GAUGAACGCUGGCUACAGGCUUAACACAUGCAAGUCGAGGGGAAACGACGGGGAAGCUUGCUUCCCCGGGCGUCGACCGGCGCACGGGUGAGUAACGCGUAUCCAACCUGCCUCUGACUGAGGGAUAACCCGUCGAAAGUCGGCCUAAUACCUCAUGGUAUCGUCUGCGGGCAUCCAACGACGAUUAAAGAUUUCAUCGGUCAGGGAUGGGGAUGCGUCUGAUUAGCUUGUUGGCGGGGUAACGGCCCACCAAGGCUACGAUCAGUAGGGGUUCUGAGAGGAAGGUCCCCCACAUUGGAACUGAGACACGGUCCAAACUCCUACGGGAGGCAGCAGUGAGGAAUAUUGGUCAAUGGGCGAGAGCCUGAACCAGCCAAGUAGCGUGCAGGAAGACGGCGCUAUGGGUUGUAAACUGCUUUUAGGCGGGGAUAAAGUGAGGGACGUGUCCCUCAUUGCAGGUACCGCAUGAAUAAGGACCGGCUAAUUCCGUG